UGCCAGCCGCCGCGGUAAGACGGAGGGCGCAAGCGUUGUUCGGAAUUACUGGGCGUAAAGCGCGGGCAGGUGGUCUGUUAAGUCGUUUGUGAAAACCCGGGGCUCAACCCCGCGGAAUGCAGACGAUACUGGCAGACUGGAGAUCGGUAGAGGCUAGCGGAAUUCCAGGUGUAGCGGUGAAAUGCGUAGAUAUCUGGAGGAACAUCAGUGGCGAAGGCGGCUCCCUGGCCAAAGACUGACGCUCAUGUGCGAAAGUGUGGGUAGCGAACAGGAUUAGAUA
rnacentral:rRNA from 1 species